rnacentral:piRNA from 1 species
UGCACACACACAUUCCCUCAGUAUGGCCC